GCGGGAUGGGAGAAAAAAAGAAAAGCUGAUAAAGAGCGUUUCCUAAACUGCAAUUGUUGGAGUGAUAAACUAUUGAUUGAUAAGAUUAUCCCGAGAAAACUAUCCUGAGAUCCUAAGAAAACAAACAAAGGGAUGGUGUUGGGUCCACCUGGCUCCUUUGGAUCAAGGAAAUGAAAGUUAGACCAAAUCUGCUCAGCAUACCACACAUGCUCUCGGAUCAAAGGUCACUUCUGGAAGCCCAGGAUUAGAAAGAGCUCAAUGGCUGAUUGGUGAUUUUCCUGAUAUGUCAUUCCAGUGCUCCAGACUGCAUGUAAGGUCUUAUUUUUAAAAUAGUUUGAAGGCAUUCAUUAUACUGAAAAAAUGUGAGGAUCGGGGAGGUGAGUUACAAUUGACAAGGGAUUAAGGUUUCUCUCUUCCACGCAUGGUAAGCCUGUGAAUUUCUAUCCAAAAUAUCUUGUUUAAACUGUGGAAAUGGAAGGGAGUGAAGUGAUAUUUGAUUUUACGUAACAUCAUGAGCUUUCUUGAUUUCAUGCAACCUGUAGCUCUCACCUUAACGCAGGGGUUGCAGGAUUCAAAACUAUGAGCUUUCUUAUUGAGAAUUUUGUCAUUUGUCCAUGGCAAAAAAUAUUUGACAACUGAGGAACAAACAGUACUCUGGGUUAGAUCUUUUCACCUUAUUCAUCUGCACAGGCAAGAAAUAUAUCCAGAGAAUUUGUGGGUUUUUUUUCUUAUCUUUUUAGUAUUUAAAAAUUUUAGUACAUAAAAACAUUUAUGUUAGAAUGGAUUUCAAAAUGCACUUCUCACUUUAAAGUCCAAAACCUUCAAUGUUCCUUUAAGUGUUUUAGUAAUUGCUUUUUAACUCAAAUGACUUGUCUAAUUUGUCCCACCAGUGAGCAAUUAAUAAAUUACUUAUUAAAGAUACAUUUAAUAAACAAAAACAGAUGAUUAUAGUCCAUCCACAAACAUCAUACAAUGAAUGCUUGUUAAAUGUCACA